UACGAAGGGGGCUAGCGUUGCUCGGAAUCACUGGGCGUAAAGGGUGCGUAGGCGGGUCUUUAAGUCGGGGGUGAAAUCCUGGAGCUCAACUCCAGAACUGCCUUCGAUACUGGAAGACUUGAGUCCGGGAGAGGUGAGUGGAACUGCGAGUGUAGAGGUGAAAUUCGUAGAUAUUCGCAAGAACACCAGUGGCGAAGGCGGCUCACUGGUCCGGUACUGACGCUGAGGUGCGAAAGCGUGGGGAGCAAACAGG
rnacentral:rRNA from 1 species